AUUUUUGGGAUAAAAGGGGGAUUUUUGAAGAAGAAAAUGUGUGAUUUUGGGGAUAAAUCAGGGAUUCUCGAAGAGAAAAUGCUCAUUUUCGGGUU
rnacentral:lncRNA from 7 species